rnacentral:rRNA from 1 species
UUAGAUUAAGUUAUUAAGGGCGCACGGUGGAUGCCUUGGCACUAGAAGCCGAUGAAGGACGUUACUAACGACGAUAUGCUUUGGGUAGCUGUAAGUAAGCGUUGAUCCAGAGAUUUCCGAAUGGGGGAACCCAGCACAAGUUAUGUUGUGUUAUCGACAAGUGAAUUCAUAGCUUGUCAGAAGGCAGACCCGGAGAACUGAAACAUCUUAGUACCCGGAGGAAGAGAAAGAAAAUUCGAUUCCCUGAGUAGCGGCGAGCGAAACGGGAAGAGCCCAAACCAAUAAGCUUGCUUAUUGGGGUUGUAGGACACUCUAUACGGAGUUACAAAGGAAUAUAUUAAACGAAUCAUCUGGAAAGUUGAAUCAAAGAAGGUAAUAAUCCUGUAGUUGAAAAUAUAUUCUCUCUUGAGUGGAUCCUGAGUACGACGGAGCACGUGAAAUUCCGUCGGAAUCUGGGAGGACCAUCUCCUAAGGCUAAAUACUCUCUAGUGACCGAUAGUGAACCAGUACCGUGAGGGAAAGGUGAAAAGUACCCCGGAAGGGGAGUGAAAGAGAACUUGAAACCGUGUGCUUACAAGUAGUCAGAGCCCGUUAAUGGGUGAUGGCGUGC